CUCUUUUCUAGUCUUAUAUCUCAAUGGUAAAUCGAUCAGUGUUGUGUUUAUAGAAUGAUUUCAUGAUGGCGACGGGAGUAUUUCUAUUGAUAAGUGGGACAUUAGAUCUUUUAACUCUAGCUAUCCUGAAGCUACUCCAUUAGUGCAUAUAAAUCAAGAAACAUAUUUUUCAUAUAUUUUUCAACUAGCCUAAUGAAGAAUAUUAGAUAUGGGAGGCAAGAUACUCAAUGAAGCAGAACAGAUCGUAAAAGCGGCGGUAGAAGCUGAUGAUGCUCACGAAUUUAUUACAAUUCUUCCAAGUGAUAUGAAACCCAAGUU